AAAGGUCACACGUUUGAGGCUGCAGCAGAAGCGCUCAUGGUGUGGCCCUGUCAGAUUCCAACAAAGCUGCGAAUUCUGCU
rnacentral:ribozyme from 1 species